rnacentral:rRNA from 1 species
AGCGACUAAGCGUACACGGUGGAUGCCCUGGCAGUCAGAGGCGAUGAAGGACGUGCUAAUCUGCGAUAAGCGUCGGUAAGGUGAUAUGAACCGUUAUAACCGGCGAUUUCCGAAUGGGGAAACCCAGUGUGAUUCGUCACACUAUCAUUAACUGAAUCCAUAGGUUAAUGAGGCGAACCGGGGGAACUGAAACAUCUAAGUACCCCGAGGAAAA